GACGAACGCUGGCGGCGUGCUUAACACAUGCAAGUCGAACGGAAAGGCCCUGCUUUUGUGGUGUGCUCGAGUGGCGAACGCGUGAGUAACACGUGAGUAACCUGCCCUUGACUUUGGGAUAACUUCAGGAAGCUGGGGCUAAUACCGGAUAGGAGCUCCUGCUGCAUGGUGGGGGUUGGAAAGUUUCGGCGGUUGGGGAUGGACUCGCGGCUUAUCAGCUUGUUGGUGGGGUAGUGGCUGACCAAGGCUUUGACGGGUAGCCGGCCUGAGAGGGUGACCGGCCACAUUGGGACUGAGAUACGGCCCAGACUCCUACGGGAGGCAGCAGUGGGGAAUAUUGCACAAUGGGCGGAAGCCUGAUGCAGCAACGCCGCGUGCGGGAUGACGGUCUUCGGGUUGUAAACCGCUUUCGCCUGUGACGAAGCGUGAGUGACGGUAAUGGGUAAAGAAGCACCGGCUAACUACGUG
rnacentral:rRNA from 1 species